rnacentral:misc_RNA from 1 species
AUUCAUAUAAAAUUCAGAUACAAUAAUUUACAAAUUAUUUACAAUCACAAAAUGAUUUACAUCUUUUACUUAUAUACAAUAACCAAAAUGCAAAAUCUAAAUAUACAUGAGCCCUACCAAAAUGGAUUGUUGAGGUGACAACCUACACUAUAGCAGAUAUGAUCAAAAUCCUAUUUAAGCUCUACUGCUGUUGUUGCUGUUGUUGCUGGUAUUGGUCUUCCGUACCUGAGUAACUAGUGAUAGAAAAAGGGAUGUUGGCGGCAAAGAUGGAGAUUUUAGAGGAGUUGCUGGCAACAAUGAAGACCUCUGUUACCGUCGAUUAUGGUGAGAGGAUGAGAGAUUGUCGAAUCAGGACUUAGAUUUCGG